rnacentral:lncRNA from 1 species
CUUAAAGUGAGGUCCAAAAGCCUCCUAUCCAGAAUUGCCUUAUUAAAAGACAGUUUUCUGGGUCCUAUGUUAGACCUAGUAAAUUAGAAUUCCUUGGUGUGAGUCCAGGAAUCUGCAUUUAAAGAAGUGCCUGAUGGUGAUUGUCAACACGCUAAGAUUUGACCCAAACUGAAAGAAGAGGAAAGAAUCAGAGACAAGAGCGCUCUUAGUAAGAAUGCUCUUUAGCCAUCUUGGCCCCAUAGAUGGCAAUGAUACGAUGAUACAGAUACACCACAUGCAUACACAAAAAGAUGGGGGCAACAUAUGACAGGUGAGAGAGAUGCCCUGGGAAGGGGAGAAAGAGACAGGGCCGAGUAAGGGAGGAGCUGCUCAUUCAUUAUCCUCUUUAGAAUCUUGUCUCUUUGGUGGGAGCCUGCAUUGCAAGAUGAUAACAUAGAAAUGUUUAGGUAAGAGAAUCUGAAGUAGCAGUGACUUCAGUAUCUGAAAGACACUGUGCAGGAUAGUUGGCAUUCCUGGUCUUUGUUCCAACUAGACCAGCCUAGUGUCAGAUUCACAAAUCAUCCUGGGAAUGCAUAAGACUUACAAUCAGAGAGACGCUCUGGAGCAAAACCCAUCACAUAUUCGAUGUCUAUGACAUCACCAUUGAGGCCUGUGUCAAAGGGGUUUUGUAUGUUUAAUUUUCAUUAUCAGUUGUUACUUGGUUAAUGAAAGAUGAUACUAUUAAUGAGUGUGUGAACGAGACAGUGUCUUCAUUGCCACCUCUGAAACAUUCCCAUCUUUUUCAGGGUAGAAUAGGCCUGACCCAAAGUGUAGCCUUUUCUUCAAUGUAGAGAAAUACUAUUCUUUCUCUUAAAGUUCCCUGACACCAAAUUAUUGUGUGUCAGCUGCUUGACACCGGGAACACAAUAUGCACUCUGUGCUUGAGUUACUG